rnacentral:rRNA from 1 species
AUUGAACGCUGGCGGCAGGCCUAACACAUGCAAGUCGAACGAGUGGCGGACGGGUGAGUAAUGUCUGGGAAACUGCCUGAUGGAGGGGGAUAACUACUGGAAACGGUAGCUAAUACCGCAUACCAUCAGAUGUGCCCAGAUGGGAUUAGCUAGUUGGUGGGGUAACGGCUCACCAAGGCGACGAUCCCUAGCUGGUCUGAGAGGAUGACCAGCCAAACUGGAACAGGGACCAGGGCCAGGAUCCGACGGGAGGCAGCAGUGGGGAAUAUUGCACAAUGGGCGCAAGCCUGAUGCAGGCAAGCCGCGGGGAUGGAGAAGGCCGUCGGGUUGUAAAGUACCUUCAGCGGGGAGGAGGUUACCGCAGAAGGAGCACCGGCUAAAUCCGUGCCAACAGCCGCGGGAAUAC